GCCUUUCUGAAUCUCUUUUUCACAUGAAAAAUGGAAAUAGUAUUAGUAAAUGCCUGCAGGAGUUAUUUGAGUGGUAAAUGAAAUAGCUGUAAUGUGAAAAUGAUGUGUUAACUGUGAAGAGCUGUGAAAAUGUUGGCUGUCAUUGUGCAGGCCAAGGGCAGGGGGGCUAACUACUCUCCUUUCUUCUUAUCUGACUAUCACUCCAAGAAGGUUAGGACUCAAGACAAACAGGGUGUCCUAGCGCUGACCUUAGCGUGUACCAGUUGUGCAAGCUUAGCCAUGUAACCUUCUCUGUGGAUUGUGGAGAUUAUGUUAGAUAGACACAGGGUAUAUACACUGCCUUGUCCAUUGUAAGCUCUUGUGGGACGAUCACAGAGGGGAACACGUAGAGGUGUGAAAGAUACGGACUUUGGAGUCAGGCAGACACAAGUUCAAAGCUCUGCUCGGCCACUGAAAUAGCUGGGUAAUCUCAGGCAAGUUACUUUUAUUUUUAAACCUCGGUUUCUUCAGCUAUAAAAUAGAGAUAGUAUUAAUACCAACUACAUGGUGUUGUUGUGAUGAUUGCACCAAAUAAUGGACAUAAAGGGCUGAGCACAUGUUGCAUACAUGGCAGCCAAGACAGGUUUCUCUUUCCCUUUCCUUACCCCAAGUCCAGAGGCUGCCAUCCUCUCAACCUUGACUUUUCCUGUUCUAAGCACAAACAGGCUGGACAACAGUAAAAGAAGGCUGAGGCCCACCCACCUCCAAGAGACAUUCAUGGACGAAGCUCAGAUUCCCAGAAGUACCCUCCUUACUCUCCAGGCCCUUCUCUAUAUUUCAGCUGAUUCCAGAAAUGAAUGAGGAAACAUGUAGCCUACUUUAUACUAGUGGCCAUCUUACAUUCGUGAUGAAGCCAAUACCGCUAUCAGAAGAGAGAGACAGAAAGAAACUAGAUCCUCGAUUACUUCAUCUAACUGAUGGAUCAACCAAUCCUGACACACACUUCCAAGCAGUAAGGCAAUAAAUGUACUUACUCUCAAAGCA
rnacentral:lncRNA from 1 species